rnacentral:rRNA from 1 species
GAUGAACGCUGGCGGCGUGCCUAAUACAUGCAAGUCGAACGAGGUGCUUUUGUAGCACUACGAGAGUAUCCUAGUGGCGAACGGGUGAGUAACGCGUUGGUGACCUACCCCAAAGUGUGGAAUAACAGUCCGAAAGGAUUGCUAAUACCGCAUGUGGUUAUCGGGUUUAGAAACUGAUAACUAAAGGAGCAAUUCGCUUUGGGAGGGACCUGCGUCCCAUCAGCUAGUUGGUGAGGUAAUGGCUCACCAAGGCUACGACGGGUAGGGGACCUGAGAGGGUGACCCCCCACAAUGGAACUGAAACACGGUCCAUACACCUACGGGUGGCAGCAGUAGGGAAUAUUGCACAAUGGGCGAAAGCCUGAUGCAGCAACGCCGCGUGCACGAUGAAGGCCUUCGGGUCGUAAAGUGCUUUUCUGGGAGAUGAGAAAGGACAGUAUCCCAGGAAUAAGUCUCGGCUAACUACGUG